rnacentral:lncRNA from 10 species
GUGCCUUAUUCAUCUGGAAACCAGGACCUGAUACAGCAGAUGCUUAAUGAAUAUUCUCUGCAGAAUGGUUGGAAUUUGGAAAGAUAACGAAAAGGUAACUCAAGAAGAAAGUGUUCCUUCAAAGGACAUCUAAACUCAGUCUGCACACUCAAGCCAAGCUCACAGAAGACCAGCCAAGACCAGUGAAAUCAUGGAGGCUUUGGAAUGCUUUGAGGUAGAACUCAUUGAACACUUGACUCCUGAAUGUUCAGAUCUAUGUUUGAGUUGUUCCGCUAAUCCUAGGAGAGUGAUUAAAGGUCCACAUGUAGUAUAAAAGGACCAAUGUUUAGACUGUUUCUUAGAGCUGAAAAUUCUGGAUUGAAGAGUACAAACAUUUUAAAAUUCUUAUAUACAUGCCAAAUAGAUUUUCAGAAAAUAUGUACCUAUUCUUAUUUACACCGAUAUCUUAUUAAACUGCUUGUCAUUCUCAGCAAAUUUUAGCAUUUUUAUUUUUAAAAUCUUAAUUAAUUGGUGUAUAAAAAUAGUAUCCCAUUAUUGUUUUAAUCCCCACUUUGUUGAUUACUAGUAAGCUUAAACAAUUGUUUAUGCCUGUAUUUUUUAUUUGUAUUUCUU